GAUGAACGUUGGCGACGUGCCUAACACAUGCAAGUCGAGCGGAGAAGCAGAGAGUGUCCUUUUCGGAGUGAACUUUUUUCGGAUCAGCGGCGGACGGGUGAGUAAUACAUGAGGAACCUGCCCUCCACAAGGGGAUAGCCGGGGGAAACUGCGAUUAAUUCCCUAUGAGACCACGAAAGCGCAUGCCUGUGGGGUUAAAGGUUCAUCGGUAGAAGAUGGCUUCAUGACCCAUUAGCUAGUUGGUGAUUUAACAGACCGACAAGGCGACGAAGGGUAGCCGGGAUGGGGGAGUGAACCGCCACAUUGGAACUGAGACACAGUCCAGACUCCUACGGGAGGCAGCAGUGGGGAAUAUUGCACGAUGGGGGAAAACCUGAUGCAGCGGCGUCGCGUGAGCGAAGAAGGCCUUCGGGUCGUAAAGCUCUGUCCUAUGGGAAGAAAGGGACGGUACCGUAGAAGGAAGCCCCGGCUAACUACGUG
rnacentral:rRNA from 1 species